GACGGAAGGUGCAAGCGUUGCUCGGAAUCACUGGGCGUAAAGGGUGCGUAGGCGGCCGUGCAAGUCUGGCGUGAAAGCCCCGGGCUCAGCCCGGGAAGUGCGCUCGAAACUGCGCGGCUCGAGUGCCGGAGGGGAGAGUGGAAUUCCUGGUGUAGCGGUGAAAUGCGUAGAUAUCAGGAGGAAUACCGGUGGCGAAAGCGACUCUCUGGGCAACAACUGACGCUGAGGAGCGAAAGCGUGGGGAGCGAACAGG
rnacentral:rRNA from 1 species